rnacentral:rRNA from 1 species
CUACGUGCCAGCAGCCGCGGUAAUACGGAAGGUUCGGGCGUUAUCCGGAUUUAUUGGGUUUAAAGGGAGCGUAGGCCGGAGAUUAAGUGUGUUGUGAAAUGUAGACGCUCAACGUCUGACUUGCAGCGCAUACUGGUUUCCUUGAGUACGCACAACGUUGGCGGAAUUCGUCGUGUAGCGGUGAAAUGCUUAGAUAUGACGAAGAACUCCGACUGCGAAGGCAGCUGACGGGAGCGCAACUGACGCUGAAGCUCGAAGGUGCGGGUAUCGAACAGGAUUAGAUACCCUGGUAGUCCGCACAGUAAACGAUGGAUGCCCGCUGUUGGUACCUAGUAUCAGCGGCUAAGCGAAAGCAUUAAGCAUCCCACCUGGGGAGUACGCCGGCAACGGUGAAACUCAAAGGAAUUGACGGGGGCCCGCACAAGCGGAGGAACAUGUGGUUUAAUUCGAUGAUACGCGAGGAACCUUACCCGGGCUUGAAUUGCAGAGGAAUUAUUUAGAGAUA